rnacentral:rRNA from 1 species
UACGAGGGGGGCAAGCGUUGUUCGGAAUUAUUGGGCGUAAAGGGUGCGUAGGCGGUUUGGUAAGUCUUAUGUGAAAUCUACAGGCUCAACUUGUAGUCUGCAUGAGAAACUGCCGGGCUUGAGUAUGGGAGAGGUGAGUGGAAUUCCUGGUGUAGCGGUGAAAUGCGUAGAUAUCAGGAGGAACACCUGUGGCGAAAGCGGCUCACUGGACCAUAACUGACGCUGAUGCGCGAAAGCGAGGGGAGCAAACAGG